CUAAAAGAAUGCAUAUCAAGAGUACAUGACGAAGCCGGGACAAACAACAUGGAGUCAUCAGACAACCGGUAAGCAUUGUGACAUUUGAUCACCCUUUAAAAUGCUUGUAACUACUACUGACCAUUUUUCACCUGUUAAUUUAGAUAGCAAAGUUCUCCAACAGAAGUAGCUAAUACCGACCAUUGUCACUACUUAAUCUAGAUACUAAGGCAGUGUUUCUCAAACUCGGUCCUCGGGACCCCAAGAGGUGCACAUUUUUAGAUUUGCCCUAGCACUACACAGCUGAUUGAGAUAAUCAACUGACCGUCAGCUGUGUAGUGCUCGGGUUAAAAAACUAAACGUGCACCUCUUGGGGUCCCGAGGACCGAGUUUGGGAAACACUGUACUCAGGUAAUGUGACACCGUUAUUUAAAGAAGGAUUGUUGUGUUGCUAAGGCUCCGACGGACUCCCUGAGGCCUGGUCCCAUUGUGUCACAGCACCUGUCUUUAUCGGGCAGCAUUUAUUUAACUACGUUUUUAAUCCGAUAGACUUGAGAGAAUGCCGCUGACAUUGGGGAGUUAGGGGGCGAGAGAGCCUUCCUAAACUCAACUCGGCGCGCUGUUCUACAGGCUCCUGGCUGGGUGGAAAGCACCCGUGUCCUUGCUAGGGUGUGAUCCUCACAUGAGGAAAGGUGACGCAACAUGUCUAUGUUUUCACCCCUCUAUCAGAAAUGACAGUCAAAGAAAGGACCCCAGUCUUCUGACUCCUUCAUGGACACGACUCAGUAGUAUGAAGAUCCAGGAGCUGCCUAGUAGCUGUGAAACGGCCGACAGGAAGGGGGUCAACGGCCAGAGUUCGGACCAGGAAUGUGGCGAGGACGUACCCCGCUUGGACCUGUCGGCGCUGACCGACGAUAACAACUGGGGAGCUCCUGUUUCGUCAGACCACAUGGAGUGUUUUUGUUUACAAGUGAUGGGAACAGCAUAG
rnacentral:lncRNA from 13 species